rnacentral:rRNA from 1 species
GACGAACGCUGGCGGCGUGCUUAACACAUGCAAGUCGAGCGGUAAGGCCCUUUCGGGGGUACACGAGCGGCGAACGGGUGAGUAACACGUGGGUGACCUGCCCUCAGCUCUGGGAUAAGCCUGGGAAACCGGGUCUAAUACUGGAUAUGACUCCAUGACGCAUGUUGUGGGGUGGAAAGCCUUGUGCGGCUGAGGAUGGGCCCGCGGGCUAUCAGCUUGUUGGUGGGGUGANGGCCUACCAAGGCGACGGCGGGUAGCCGGCCUGAGAGGGCGACCGGCCACACUGGGACUGAGACACGGCCCAGACUCCUACGGGAGGCAGCAGUGGGGAAUCUUGCGCGAUGGGCGAAAGCCUGACGCAGCGACGCCGCGUGAGGGAUGACGGCCUCGGUU